CCUCGCGGGGCGGCGCGCGCCUGACAGCCGGGCCCUGAGGUGAGCAGGAAGCGGUGCUCGGCUCUUCCAGCCCAGAGGCCUGCAGCAGGGUGCCCGGGGGUGCUGCAAGCGCUGUGGGAGAUGUGUUGGGGUGCGCAUCCCUUGCAACACCCCCCUGCAGCGUUGACAGAUGUUACGAGGUCCCUUCCAGCCCUAAAGUCUACGAAACCGAACGAUUCGACACCUGUGCGAGCGGGCAGUCGUAAGGCGUUUGAAAAGACCGAGAUAACUCGCCACCUGGAUACAAGUGUGCAAGUUGACAUUGUAUACCUAGACUUCCAAAGGGCCUUUGAUCUGGUAUCCCAUGAUGUCUUCGCAAGAAAAUUGGAGAAUUUUGGCUUAACUCCCACAGUCGGGUGAGAAACUGGCUGCAGGAUACAACCCAGAGUCAUAGUGAAUGGACACAUGUCAUCUUGGUGAGAAGUGGGCAGCAGGGGUUGGUACUCAGUCCAGUACUUUUCAACAUCUUUAUUAAUGAUUUGGAUGUGGGGGUGAAGAGUACACUGGGCAGGUUCACAGAUGACACCAAGUUAUGGGAAAGCGUGGUCAUGCUUAAAGAUAGGCUCGUUACAGGCGGACCUAGACAGGCAAACAAGUUGGGCAGACUGGAAUCUGAUGAAGUUCAACGUUGAGAAAUGCAAAGUGCUCCACCUUGGGACAAACAACACACUACACACCUACAGGCUUGGCGGUACCAAACUGACCAGCACCACGAAUAAAAGGGACCUGGGGGUAAUAAUAGACCACAGAAUGAAUAUGAGCUGGCAGUGCGAUGCUGCAGCCAGUAGGGCAAAUAAGACUCUGCCAUGCAACAAUUGAUGCCUCUCCAGCAAAACCAAGGAGGCGAUUCUUCCGCUCUACAGCUGCGGUCUCACCAGUGCGGAGGAGUACUAUGUCCAGUUCUGGGCACCACACUUUAACAAGGACAAGCUCGAGAGAGUCCAAAGAAGAGCCAUCUGUAUGAUCAGUCUUAAAAGGCAAGCCAGAUGAGGAAAGGCUGCAACCGUUCACCAGGGCACCCGAGGGGAAAACCAUGAGUAAUGGCCACAACCUCCUGGAAGACUGAAGAAGUUUUUCCUAAUGUUGAGCCUGAAUCAGCUAGGCUGUCCAGACUGUGGAAUAAACUCCCUCCAGAUGUGGUGCAAUCACCUAGCCUGGAAAUCUUCAAGAGGAGACUGGACAGCCACCUCACCGGGGUCACCUGACCCCCAGUUGUCUUUUGUGCUUGGUGCAGGGACCUGGACACGAUGAUGUUCUGAGGUCCCUUUCAGCCUUACAAUCUGUGAAAUUGUCUUAAUUGGGCAGCCUUGUGUCCCUAACGAUAUUUCUUCUGCUAGAAUUUGAGCAAUUUAAAACGAGUCAUUCUUUAAAAAGGUGAAUUUUAUACAACAAAAUAGAGUUGAAAUGUCUAAGGCCUCCUUUACACAUGCAGGUGAAGGUGCAAUGGGAUCUAAUGUGUGAUCCACACAAUUGUGCCUGCUGCCUGCUACAUGUGUACGGCAGGAGGCACGAUUGUGGGAUCCAGCAUAAGAUCCCAUCACACCUUAUUGCUGGUAUGAGACAGUCCUAAAUCCUACCCCCCCUGCACUGGCAAAGAGUAAGCACCUGCGGCUGUGAGUCCCACAGCUGACACAGUUUGCAGCCCCAACUGUGUCCCACUUGGAGCUAUAAUCUCCAAGCUGCAGGGGUACAGGCUACACGUGCAAAUUUAUAGCUGGUUUUCAUCCAGCUUUAAGUUACUACACAUUUUCCAGCAAUAACUUUAUAACUGGUUGGUCCUUUUAAGGUGGCAUAGCUAAUGUGCACAUGUAGUCAAUCUAAAUUAAUGGUGCAAUUAAAUCAAGUAAUUGUGCAAUAGAUGCAAUGUGUAGAUGGGCCCAAGACAACAACAGCAGGUUCUAAGCAUUCGUCUCCAGUCAAAACUGAAAAGGAUUACCGUAAUAAGCAUGUCUCCUGAAUGCAUAACAUGGAGAAAUAUAUGAAUAAGAGCUCAUGUUUUUCCAUGACUUUUGAUGAAGCAGAAAACCUACUGUGAGUAAUCUAGAUGACCCACAACACUUCAAUAGCCACAAACUGUCAAUGCAUUUUUCUAACUUGGGUAAUGGAAAACGAAGAUGUAGUUAGCCAUCUUAGUCUCAAAUCAAGUGGAAAGCAGGGUAGAUUUGCACCUUACAGACUAACUAAAGUAAUAGAAAACAAGUCAGUUUGAAGCCUGAUUUUUUGUCUUUCUAGUUGAACAUAUUCAGCAUAACAAAAUGCCCAAAUAUGUAAUUAAAAUGUUUCUUUCUAAAAUUAGCCUGAAUAAUAAGUGCAAUGGCUAAAUAUUUAUGAGCCUUUGCUGACAGAUCAAAAGGACUCAAUUUCCCCAUGGAAGAAUGUUUAAUGAAUUAACAUGCAACUAAGCAGCCAAGCAAAGGGAAUUUUCACUGCUAGUGAAAACCCUAACCCUAGUCCCAGAAGUCAAAAUAAAAACUAUCAACCCCCUCCCUCCCCCCAGAAAAACUCCACCCUCUUCACCUUUUGCUUAUGAGUGGCUUAUUGGUACAGUAUUCAUAACAUUUCUUUGACUGGAAAAACAUACUUGCAGCCAAAGAUUACAGCAAAACAACCAGAACACACAAGCAACCUUAAAAAUAAUUUUCAACAAAACCAUAAAGGAACUUUAAAAGCAGAUGACCAGUCAUUGCUGGAACAGAUGGAAAUUCUCUAUUGCAAAAUAAAAGUGAGAAACUACUCCGGUGUGUGCACUUGAAAACGAGGACCAGACAGAAGUGCAGAGUAGAAGGACCUGGCACCUUCUAGUGAACACUGCAUACCCAAGUACCAACACUAGUGUGAAUGAGCUAAGUAAAGCUAGAAAUUUUGAUAAUAGCAUGAUCCAGUUGUACUCAGUGCAACUUGUCAGGUGUUUGGCUGUUGUGAUAGCUAUGAACUUGAUGCAUUCUAUAAAGACAAAAGGCUUUUAUAUUUAACAUUACAUCUUUUAAUUUUUUAAGUCAAAACCACAGGAAUGAUUCAUAAUGCAACAGUAAGUGGAAAAUGAGUUAGAAAUCCAGCUCAGGAUAUUUUCUGUCCCAUCAUAUAUUGUUUUAUUUUUAGAAAAUAAACCUGAAAUUACAACGAAAAGCCAAGACACCACUUUUGGAAGUGCAACACAAACACACCUGUCUAAUAUAUUGUUAUUAAAGCACAAAGAAAACUACCGAAUAUGCAAAAACAUUUAAUAAAAAAUUUAUUUUAAACUUAGCAUGAAUCAGUAAUCACAAGCGUUACAACAUAAGGUUUUACAGAAAUUUUUAAAAUUUCUUUUACAAUAAACAGGUCUUUCUCUACAUGCUAGCCCCAUUUUUAGUUUUGAAAAUAAUACUUAACAGGAAUAAGCAUUCAACUCUAAAAAGAAAACUUUGGCAUGUGUACAUCUAGUCAGUUAAAAGUAAACAGCGGAAGAUUUAAGUCAGGAAAAAAACCCCUCACGCUGAUUAGCUUCACAGCACUGUUAAAUCAGGGAUGUAACCCAUAAGCUACCUGCUAUUAAAUACAAAAGAACUUACUGAAGCCCAAAAAUGUUACGGGGCAAUCGGUGAUUCAGGGAGUUAAAAUGGCAGCCUUUUAACUCUACCGAUACCGAUUAGAAAACAGUUUAGGCCACAAGUGAACAUCAGUUUGGUGGUCACACCUUCUCCCCCCUUUAGUGGUUUGCUCACAUUGCUGGACUAUGCCACUUGGCAUAACUGGCAGGCUUCACUUGGAACUGGGACAAGCAAAGGUGUUUGUAGGUCGGGACUGAAGGGCACCUUUAGAGAAUGGGGAAUGUGAAUAGUGCCCACCAAGUCCAUCUUGGGUCUCUGUCACUACUAUUGGCCACCUACACAACUACCAAAAAUCUGAAGGGGGUUGUGGGGGUGGGGGGGAAGAAAGAGCAGGAAAGAUUUUGCAAGGCAUUUCUCCUCGACAUACAGUAGAUAGUGCAUCUGUAUUACAAUAAGAAUCCAGCGAAAACCCUAAAUUUCAAGAAAUUAUUCCUAAUUCCAUAAUGAUUACAAAAAGCACAGUAUGUGUGUAAUUUUGCAGAAAUACUGCAAUGAACAUAUUUUAUUACAGUACUAGUAAAAGACUAUGGACAGAUAGACUAUGGACAGAUAUCCUUGUAUUUCUAGAAGCAGAAAUGCAGGUCUUGAAAUUUAGAGAUUCUGCAGCAAAUAUAUUACUGCGCUGUAACAGACUGUGGCACAAUCAUGCACUUAUCUGACACUCCUGUACACAAUUCAAAAGAUGUUCUCCGGCAACUCAAUACACUUGGCAUCUUUUUUUUUUUUUUUUUUAAUAGUUCCUGCUAAAUGUUAGUGAUCCAAAACUGACUGACAACUGUAGGGGCACAAAUGGCAGAAGAGCAGUAUU